AGUUCAUGACCACUAGAGAGGUUUCUCCUUCCACUUUAGCAGCAUUGCGUAAUGAAAAGAUCGAUGUUGAGACAGUCCUUGCCGUUGACGACCAAAGUUUCAGUCCAUAUAUUCCGAAACUGGGUGACAGAGUUGCAUUGAGGGAACAUUGCUCUAAAAUCGUCCAAAAAUCAAAGAAGAAGGAAUAAAAAAGAAUUGAAAAUGAAACUGGCACACUAGAGUCACAAGAAAACUCCAGAAAAGGAUGCAGAGAUCGCUAAAUCUGAUUGGAGAAAGACGAUUAGGAAGAAGACGAGGAAAAUAGAAUUCGGGUGGAUACAUGAUGAACACCAAGUCCGAAAACGAUUUGGCGGCGGCGCCAGAAAAGUGGACGUGAAACGUUCUUUGUGUAAACCAGAACUUUUGGAAAUGGCCAAGGAGUUAUUUUUCCCAAACGGCAGGUCCACAAAAGGAUCUCUCAAUGACGUUACAUGUGAUCUGUUAGAUUUUUAAAAAAAUCACUUCCAAAUGAGAUGUCAGUGACAGAUUGUUAUGACCUUUUCAAAAUUGGCAUUGUAACAUUUUACCUGCACACAAAAUCUAUUGAUACAACAACUGCAGAUGAACAUGCCACUCAUGAUGAACGACCCUCUGAUCAACAAGGAGUGGGAGAAACACCAGGCCACGCAACAUCAUCAGAUGAGAUACAGGAUGAGCCUUCAUUUCCCGGAACCAGGGAAUCAAUGAUGCCUACUGGACCUCUCCAAGAAGAAUGGAUGAACACACCAUUAUACACCCCUCGAGAAAUGACAUCCAUCAAGACGCUGUGGAAGCUAUUGGUUUCCUGGAUGAAGACCUGCCAGAUUUAGAAGUGCGACAUAUCCCUGUGUUUGAUAUUGUGGGAAACAACCAAGACAACACAACUAUAUCACAUACUGAGGGGGGCAUUACUGUGUCCAGAUGACCAUCCACACAGCUUCCUUGGCCUUUGCAGAGAUGUUAGGAUACUUCAAGGAUGCUGACAUUUUGAAUGAGGUAGUGAAUGUUGUCCGCAUUCUGCCAAAUGGUAUAGAGGAGAAGGAUGAAGACACCGGAGGUGUCCUGCGGAAUACGAUCACAGAAUUUUGGGAACACUUCUACAACCACUUUACAAUUGGGGAAACGUUAAAAUAAAGUUCCAUCUCUAAGGCAUGAUUUCGGAAUUGAAGAAUGGAAAGCUGUUGCACGUGUACUGGUGUUUGGAUGGAGAAGACUGAUUUACUGGCCACUGAAGUUGUCCAAGGUAUUCAUUCUCCAGUGCUUUUUCCCUGGAAGGGAUCCUGAAUCAUCAAUCCUAAUGGAAGAUUUUCAUGAGUUUGCAUCAGCCAUGACUCUAAAAUUUUCAAACAAGCUAUUGGGGACUUUACUAGCGUCGAAGAAGAUGAUCUGUUGGAGUCAUUGGAGACUUACAACUGUAGGUCGAAAAUUGAUGCAACACAUCUGGUACCAGUCCUGAUUGAGAUUGCAAACUUCACACUCAUACAGGAAACAAUGUUUGUUGUUGAAUCCUGGCGUGAAAUCUUUGACAAUAUCUAUGUCAGAGCAGCAGUUGGCAUCUCUGUAUUCAUCAACGCGGCCAACCAACAAGUCAGUUCUAAACUACUUGAAGUGCCAGAAGCCGCAAACAUAAAUGAAAGGCAGACUCGAAGGUUCCUCAAGCAAUAUGUCAACGAGAUGGAUGUUGAGAAGCUGCAAAAGUUUCUCCGUCUCUGUACUGGGUCGCACAUGGUAAACACAGAGAAGAUACAGGUGAACUUCAUUCCCAUGGAGUACUUUGAAAGAAGACCAAUCGCUCACACAUGCGGAGCAGUGCUGAAACAUUCUGAUAACUACUCAAAUUACAUGGAGUUCAGAACGGAGUUUGACCAUGUCCUCACUAGAAAUGUGUGGGUCAUGGACAUAAUAUAGUGGGUAAAAUAAUGAUAUGUUUAAGUUUUGACUGAAGGUUUCUUGGUUUUGAAACUGAGUAUCUGUGAGAAGAUACAUAGUGUUACUAUGCAUCUUUUUGUACUCGUUUAAGAUUGAAUGUUGAUACAGAAUUGCACUUUGAUGACUAAGGUAGA